UGCAAGUAGAACGCUGAAGAGAGGAGCUUGCUCUUCUUGGAUGAGUUGCGAACGGGUGAGUAACGCGUAGGUAACCUGCCUUGUAGCGGGGGAUAACUAUUGGAAACGAUAGCUAAUACCGCAUAACAAUGGAUGACACAUGUCAUUUAUUUGAAAGGGGCAAUUGCUCCACUACAAGAUGGACCUGCGUUGUAUUAGCUAGUAGGUGAGGUAACGGCUCACCUAGGCGACGAUACAUAGCCGACCUGAGAGGGUGAUCGGCCACACUGGGACUGAGACACGGCCCAGACUCCUACGGGAGGCAGCAGUAGGGAAUCUUCGGCAAUGGGGGCAACCCUGACCGAGCAACGCCGCGUGAGUGAAGAAGGUUUUCGGAUCGUAAAGCUCUGUUGUAAGUCAAGAACGAGUGUGAGAGUGGAAAGUUCACACUGUGACGGUAGCUUACCAGAAAGGGACGGCUAACUACGUGCCAGCAGCCGCGGUAAUACGUAGGUCCCGAGCGUUGUCCGGAUUUAUUGGGCGUAAAGCGAGCGCAGGCGGUUUGAUAAGUCUGAAGUUAAAGGCUGUGGCUCAACCAUAGUUCGCUUUGGAAACUGUCAAACUUGAGUGCAGAAGGGGAGAGUGGAAUUCCAUGUGUAGCCGGUGAAAUGCGUAGAUAUAUGGAGGAACACCGGUGGCGAAAGCGGCUCUCUGGUCUGUAACUGACGCUGAGGCUCGAAAGCGUGGGGAGCGAACAGGAUUAGAUACCCUGGUAGUCCACGCCGUAAACGAUGAGUGCUAGGUGUUGGAUCCUUUCCGGGAUUCAGUGCCGCA
rnacentral:rRNA from 1 species